rnacentral:rRNA from 1 species
AUUGAACGCUGGCGGCAGGCUUAACACAUGCAAGUCGAGCGGGCAUAGCAAUAUGUCAGCGGCAGACGGGUGAGUAACGCGUGGGAACGUACCUUUUGGUUCGGAACAACACAGGGAAACUUGUGCUAAUACCGGAUAAGCCCUUACGGGGAGAGAUUUAUCGCCGAAAGAUCGGCCCGCGUCUGAUUAGCUAGUUGGUGAGGUAAUGGCUCACCAAGGCGACGAUCAGUAGCUGGUCUGAGAGGAUGAUCAGCCACAUUGGGACUGAGACACGGCCCAAACUCCUACGGGAGGCAGCAGUGGGGAAUAUUGGACAAUGGGCGCAAGCCUGAUCCAGCCAUGCCGCGUGAGUGAUGAAGGCCCUAGGGUUGUAAAGCUCUUUUGUGCGGGAAGAUAAUGACGGUACCGCAAGAAUAAGCCCCGGCUAACUUCGUGCCAGCCGCCGCCGUAA